rnacentral:tRNA from 1 species
AAGAAAGUGACAGAAUGGUCUUGUGGUUGGCUUGAAACCAACAUACGGGGGUUCGAUUCCUCCCUUUCUCGAU